rnacentral:rRNA from 1 species
AGUGAACGCUGGCGGUAGGCCUAACACAUGCAAGUCGAACGGCAGCACAGUAAGAGCUUGCUCUUACGGGUGGCGAGUGGCGGACGGGUGAGGAAUACAUCGGAAUCUACUUUUUCGUGGGGGAUAACGUAGGGAAACUUACGCUAAUACCGCAUACGACCUACGGGUGAAAGCAGGGGAUCUUCGGACCUCGCGCGAUUGAAUGAGCCGAUGUCGGAUUAGCUAGUUGGCGGGGUAAAGGCCCACCAAGGCGACGAUCCGUAGCUGGCCUGAGAGGAUGAUCAGCCACACUGGAACUGAGACACGGUCCAGACUCCUACGGGAGGCAGCAGUGGGGAAUAUUGGACAAUGGGCGCAAGCCUGAUCCAGCCAUACCGCGUGGGUGAAGAAGGCCUUCGGGUUGUAAAGCCCUUUUGUUGGGAAAGAAAAGCAGCAGGUUAAUACCCCGCUGUUCUGACGGUACCCAAAGAAUAAGCACCGGCUAACUUCGUG